rnacentral:rRNA from 1 species
GACGUAGGGCGCGAGCGUUGUCCGGAUUUAUUGGGCGUAAAGAGCUCGUAGGCGGUUUGUCGCGUCGUCCGUGAAAACUUGGGGCUCAACCCCAAGCUUGCGGGCGAUACGGGCAGACUUGAGUACUGCAGGGGAGACUGGAAUUCCUGGUGUAGCGGUGAAAUGCGCAGAUAUCAGGAGGAACACCGGUGGCGAAGGCGGGUCUCUGGGCAGUAACUGACGCUGAGGAGCGAAAGCGUGGGUAGCAAACAGG